UAACAACGAAACUUCUUAGCGCGGCGUUAAACGUCCUGCGUGGCCUGGCGUCGGAUUUCUUUCUGGGCUCAACUCCAGUGACCUCUCCAAUGACAUCUCAUGCACACGGAGCCCGAUCACAGGGCACAGUUUUCUUGUAUCUUGUAGAGAGUGCAUUUCGCAGUCCUUUGCUCUUACCGUGCCCUGUGACUAGACUAACUCUCCUUGCGUUCUGUCUUCAUUGAUUUUUUUUUUUCUUCAUUCUUCCACAUCAGAUCCAAAUGCCUCUGUGGAGCCUUCCUUCCCAGAGUCCUCUGGCUCAGGUGAUAUCCUUUCCUCUCUCUCUGGGCAAUUUGUUGUUGACAAGGGGUUGGAUUUGCCCAUCUGCCUAGAUGCUCUUCUCCUCUGAGGACAGACACACUGUGGAUGUGCAUUGGUUUCUUCAACUGCCUAUUGGAGGAGAAUACUUAUAGGGAAUACAAUCGAUGUUUCACUGACUUUACUCCUGGCCCCUGGAGUCCAAUCCAGUGUAGCUCGUGAAUACAACUUUAAAACUGACUUGCUGAGCCAAGUACCGAAGCCAUUCAACUUUGUCUCCCAAAGAAUUUCUUUCCCCCACUUGGGAACAUCAGAUGAGCCCGGAGUGUCUGAAGGGAUGUAUAUUGCCCAUCUACCUCACAUAUGGACAUGAAGUUCUUUUUGUGUCUGAGAAGACCCCUUAAAUUUUCUUCUCAAUAAAUAGGUAAGAUUUCUACCCUUCUGCCUCUCCUGAAUGCAUGUUGCUUGGCUACACUUCAUUACUUACCGAUUUGGAUUACCUCAAGUGGGUUAAAACAAAGAAAACUCAUACUUCUCUGAAAACCCUUUGUUCAAUGGAAUGCCAUACUUGUCUGAACUUAUCCGCGGUAUUUGCCGAUGGCUACUCAAUGUCAAGGAGCAGAGAUGAGCAGAUAUGUUUGCAGAUUCUAUGGCAUACGUUCUUUAGUUACUAAAAUAUAAAGUUACCAAAACUAUGUAUCUAAAUGUAUAUAUAAUAUAUACUAGGGUAAGGCAGAGAGUAUGAGUGUGGACAUUCAUUUUGGGCCUACUUUCUGUCAGGUAUUUUUUUGAAAUUAUAUUACUACUUAAUCCUUAUAACAAUCAAUAAGUUAUCCAUUAUUUCCCUCAUUUUACAAAGGAAGGAAUGGAGACUCAGUAACCUAUUCACAAUCACUUUAAAGAUAACAGGCACUUUUUGCAUGACAACCUGUGGUCUUUUUGUGAGACAUUAGCUGCCAUGAUGCUGUAAUUGUGUGGGGGAAUUUCAGCAGUUUGAAUGCUAUCAGAAUGAAAGCUAACUUUAUGAUACAUUUAUUGGUGUUUUCACCUCUAAACAGUGAAUGAAUGGUGGUGGAGGGGAUAAUACGAAGGGAAGCAUUUUGGGGAUCACAUUGGUAGUGAUUUCCUGUAAUGUUUCUUCUGUAAAUCUUAGUUGUCACUUAGAAAAUCUGAU